GAAUUCAUUUCAAGUAUGUUGAGAAGAAAACGACCCAUCUCUGAAAAAAUCACCUCACCCAAGAAAAUACGACUCAUUCAUGAGAAUGAAAGUGCAAAGUCUCCCAAGAAAUUGUCUUGUAAUAUAGCAUGUGAAUAAACAAUUUUUUGAAAUA